rnacentral:misc_RNA from 1 species
CUUUUCAAUUCAGCGCCUCGCCCUCUAUUUUUCACAUUUUCUUCUCAAAAAUCAGCAAAACCUCUUCCUCCCUCCAUCGUCUCUUCCGCUCUCUCGAUUACAUCGAAUCUUCUCUCUUCUUCUUUCUCCCUCCCUCUCUCUCUCUUUUCUUCUUUCUCUCCACAAGCACCUAUAUAUUGUUCCAUGGAGUUGCCUCGUGCUUCGUGCUCUUGAUCCUUCUCGCUUUCGAGCCCUAAAACGAAAACCUUUACCCAUAACCUAGUAACCCUAUCUCAAAGACCCUAUUCCCUCUCGCUCUUUUCUCAAGCUUGAGAGGCGGUUUCUACAAAAUUGCUGAUCAAUCAACCAUAUCUAAGGUUAGAGGGUGCUGCUGUUGUCAAGAUGAGUUUGCAACAGGCUG